UGCCAGCCGCCGCGGUAAUACAGAGGGUGCGAGCGUUAAUCGGAGUUACUGGGCGUAAAGGACUUGUAGGUGGCUAAUUAAGUCAGAUGUGAAAGACCAGGGCUCAACCUUGGAAUUGCAUUUGAUACUGGUUAGCUAGAGUAUGGUAGAGGGAAAGGGAAUUUCCGGUGUAGCGGUGAAAUGCGUAGAUAUCGGAAGGAACAUCAGUGGCGAAGGCGCUUUCCUGGACUAAUACUGACACUGAGGAGCGAAAGCGUGGGUAGCGAACAGGAUUAGAUA
rnacentral:rRNA from 1 species